UGUGAGCUCGAUGAGUAGGGCGGGACACGUGGUAUCCUGUCUGAAUAUGGGGGGACCAUCCUCCAAGGCUAAAUACUCCUGACUGACCGAUAGUGAACCAGUACCGUGAGGGAAAGGCGAAAAGAACCCCGGCGAGGGGAGUGAAAAAGAACCUGAAACCGUGUACGUACAAGCAGUGGGAGCACAGAGCAAUCUGUGUGACUGCGUACCUUUUGUAUAAUGGGUCAGCGACUUAUAUUCUGUAGCAAGGUUAACCGAAUAGGGGAGCCGAAGGGAAACCGAGUCUUAACUGGGCGUUAAGUUGCAGGGUAUAGACCCGAAACCCGGUGAUCUAGCCAUGGGCAGGUUGAAGGUUGGGUAACACUAACUGGAGGACCGAACCGACUAAUGUUGAAAAAUUAGCGGAUGACUUGUGGCUGGGGGUGAAAGGCCAAUCAAACCGGGAGAUAGCUGGUUCUCCCCGAAAGCUAUUUAGGUAGCGCCUCGUGAAUUCAUCUCCGGGGGUAGAGCACUGUUUCGGCAAGGGGGUCAUCCCGACUUACCAACCCGAUGCAAACUGCGAAUACCGGAGAAUGUUAUCACGGGAGACACACGGCGGGUGCUAACGUCCGUCGUGAAGAGGGAAACAACCCAGACCGCCAGCUAAGGUCCCAAAGUCAUGGUUAAGUGGGAAACGAUGUGGGAAGGCCCAGACAGCCAGGAUGUUGGCUUAGAAGCAGCCAUCAUUUAAAGAAAGCGUAAUAGCUCACUGGUCGAGUCGGCCUGCGCGGAAGAUGUAACGGGGCUAAACCAUGCACCGAAGCUGCGGCAGCGACGCUGAUGCGUUGUUGGGUAGGGGAGCGUUCUGUAAGCCUGUGAAGGUGUACUGUGAGGUAUGCUGGAGGUAUCAGAAGUGCGAAUGCUGACAUAAGUAACGAUAAAGCGGGUGAAAAGCCCGCUCGCCGGAAGACCAAGGGUUCCUGUCCAACGUUAAUCGGGGCAGGGUGAGUCGACCCCUAAGGCGAGGCCGAAAGGCGUAGUCGAUGGGAAACAGGUUAAUAUUCCUGUACUUGGUGUUACUGCGAAGGGGGGACGGAGAAGGCUAUGUUGGCCGGGCGACGGUUGUCCCGGUUUAAGCGUGUAGGCUGGUUUUCCAGGCAAAUCCGGAAAAUCAAGGCUGAGGCGUGAUGACGAGGCACUACGGUGCUGAAGCAACAAAUGCCCUGCUUCCAGGAAAAGCCUCUAAGCAUCAGGUAACAUCAAAUCGUACCCCAAACCGACACAGGUGGUCAGGUAGAGAAUACCAAGGCGCUUGAGAGAACUCGGGUGAAGGAACUAGGCAAAAUGGUGCCGUAACUUCGGGAGAAGGCACGCUGAUAUGUAGGUGAAGUCCCUCGCGGAUGGAGCUGAAAUCAGUCGAAGAUACCAGCUGGCUGCAACUGUUUAUUAAAAACACAGCACUGUGCAAACACGAAAGUGGACGUAUACGGUGUGACGCCUGCCCGGUGCCGGAAGGUUAAUUGAUGGGGUUAGCGCAAGCGAAGCUCUUGAUCGAAGCCCCGGUAAACGGCGGCCGUAACUAUAACGGUCCUAAGGUAGCGAAAUUCCUUGUCGGGUAAGUUCCGACCUGCACGAAUGGCGUAAUGAUGGCCAGGCUGUCUCCACCCGAGACUCAGUGAAAUUGAACUCGCUGUGAAGAUGCAGUGUACCCGCGGCAAGACGGAAAGACCCCGUGAACCUUUACUAUAGCUUGACACUGAACAUUGAGCCUUGAUGUGUAGGAUAGGUGGGAGGCUUUGAAGUGUGGACGCCAGUCUGCAUGGAGCCGACCUUGAAAUACCACCCUUUAAUGUUUGAUGUUCUAACGUUGACCCGUAAUCCGGGUUGCGGACAGUGUCUGGUGGGUAGUUUGACUGGGGCGGUCUCCUCCUAAAGAGUAACGGAGGAGCACGAAGGUUGGCUAAUCCUGGUCGGACAUCAGGAGGUUAGUGCAAUGGCAUAAGCCAGCUUGACUGCGAGCGUGACGGCGCGAGCAGGUGCGAAAGCAGGUCAUAGUGAUCCGGUGGUUCUGAAUGGAAGGGCCAUCGCUCAACGGAUAAAAGGUACUCCGGGGAUAACAGGCUGAUACCGCCCAAGAGUUCAUAUCGACGGCGGUGUUUGGCACCUCGAUGUCGGCUCAUCACAUCCUGGGGCUGAAGUAGGUCCCAAGGGUAUGGCUGUUCGCCAUUUAAAGUGGUACGCGAGCUGGGUUUAGAACGUCGUGAGACAGUUCGGUCCCUAUCUGCCGUGGGCGCUGGAGAACUGAGGGGGGCUGCUCCUAGUACGAGAGGACCGGAGUGGACGCAUCACUGGUGUUCGGGUUGUCAUGCCAAUGGCACUGCCCGGUAGCUAAAUGCGGAAGAGAUAAGUGCUGAAAGCAUCUAAGCACGAAACUUGCCCCGAGAUGAGUUCUCCCUGACUCCUUGAGAGUCCUGAAGGAACGUUGAAGACGACGACGUUGAUAGGCCGGGUGUGUAAGCGCAGCGAUGCGUUGAGCUAACCGGUACUAAUGAACCGUGAGGCUUAACC
rnacentral:rRNA from 1 species